rnacentral:tRNA from 1 species
AGAGAUGCAGCUCAGUGGUAGAGCACUUGUUUAGCAAGUGCAAGCCCCUGGGUUCAAUCCCCAGUACUUCAG